CCCUUAGAUGUUCUGGGCCGCACGCGCGCUACACUGACGGAGUCAACGAGUUGUCCUGCAUCGGAAGGUGUGGGUAAUCUUUUGAAACUUCGUCGUGCUGGGGAUAGAUCUUUGCAAUUUUCGAUCUUGAACGAGGAAUUCCUAGUAAGCGUGAUUCAUCAGAUCGCGUUGAUUACGUCCCUGCCCUUUGUACACACCGCCCGUCGCUACUACCGAUUGAAUGAUUUAGUGAGGACUUCGGACUGGGACCGAUGCGGCUUUCGGGCUGCGUCGGUAUUCUGGAAAGAUGUCCAAACUGUAUCAUUUAGAGGAAGUAAAAGUCGUANCA
rnacentral:rRNA from 1 species